UGGGGAAUAUUGGACAAUGGGCGAAAGCCUGAUCCAGCCAUGCCGCGUGUGUGAAGAAGGUCUUCGGAUUGUAAAGCACUUUAAGUUGGGAGGAAGGGCAGUUUCCUAAUACGAAAUUGUUUUGACGUUACCGACAGAAUAAGCACCGGCUAACUCUGUGCCAGCAGCCGCGGUAAUACAGAGGGUGCAAGCGUUAAUCGGAAUUACUGGGCGUAAAGCGCGCGUAGGUGGUUUGUUAAGUUGAAUGUGAAAUCCCCGGGCUCAACCUGGGAACUGCAUCCAAAACUGGCAAGCUAGAGUAGGGCAGAGGGUGGUGGAAUUUCCUGUGUAGCGGUGAAAUGCGUAGAUAUAGGAAGGAACACCAGUGGCGAAGGCGACCACCUGGGCUCAUACUGACACUGAGGUGCGAAAGCGUGGGGAGCAAACAGGAUUAGAUACC
rnacentral:rRNA from 1 species